GAUCAAAUCAAGCGCGAAAAGGGCGUUUGGUGAAUGCCUUGGCAGUAAGAGGCGA
rnacentral:rRNA from 1 species